UGGGGAAUUUUCCGCAAUGGGCGAAAGCCUGACGGAGCAAUGCCGCGUGGAGGUGGAAGGCCUACGGGUCGUCAACUUCUUUUCUCGGAGAAGAAACAAUGACGGUAUCUGAGGAAUAAGCAUUGGCUAACUCUGUGCCUAG
rnacentral:rRNA from 1 species